rnacentral:rRNA from 1 species
CAAUAGCGUAUAUUAAAGCUGUUGCGGUUAAAAAGCUCGUAGUUGGAUUUCUGUCAAGGACAACUGGUCCGCCCUCCGGGUGAGCACAUAGUUUGGUCUUGACAUCUUGCUGGAAGCUGUUGCUGCACUUGGCUGUGUGGCAGCACUUUCACUUUGAGGAAAUUGGAGUGUUUCAAGCAGGCACAUGCCUUUGGACACAGUAGCAUGGAAUAAUUAGAUUGGGCUUUUGCUCCAAUUUGUCGGUUUCUGGAGCUGAGGUGAGUAUUAAUGGGGAUUGUUGGGGGCAUCCGAAUUUAGCCGUCAGAGGUGAAAUUCUUGGAUCUGCUAAAGACGGACAACUGCGAAAGCGUUUGCCCAGGAUGUUUUCAUUG